CAGGAAAUACGUAUCCUAGCAAUGGAGUUUGUGGAUUUUACACUAAUUGAACUUUGACUUGGUCAUCAGAAACAGUCUUGUUCAUAUAAAGUCCAAUGACACAGCUUCUUCUCUUUGCUCCUGCUCCACUGUUUCUUUGGCAGGGCUUCCACCAUGGUUGCUUCCACUAUGUCAGGUAUCCUUGGAGCAUGUUGAAAUGUAUCCUCUGUGGAUGCAGGUGUCGUACAACAAAACUAUGCAGAAGCAUCACCAUAUCUUUAUCAGAGGAAACCAUCAUGAGAAGAGGAAUCUCAAAGAGCCAAGUGAAGAUGGAAGACGUUUGCACAUAGUGAAGGGAAGACUCCUGCAGCCGCAACACAGAGAAAAGGAAAAGGAACUGCUCUGAUCAAAGGUUAAAGCAAGAGCAUGGAACUUAGCAA
rnacentral:lncRNA from 11 species